GCUGGGUGUGGUGGCUCACACCCGUAAUCCCAGCACUUUGGGAGGCCCAGGUGGGUGGAUCACUUGAGGUCAGGAGUUUGAGACCAGCCUGACCAACAUGGUGAUACCCCACCUCCU
rnacentral:SRP_RNA from 1 species